ACCACCAUUGUCGUGACCUUAUGUCACCUGACCCGACCCGCGCACCCACACUUAUCUCACCUCACCGUUGCCCUAUCAGCACCACAGACAGCAGAGUCAGCAACGAACGGCAGCAGACGCUGCCUCCGCCUGCUGUCAGCUCUGACAUUCCACGGGUCUUUUGCUGUGGAAUGGUGUGACCUAAUCUGACCUCCCGUGAGCGUGUGUGUGACCUCGGCCUUACGUAGUGCCGCUGUUGGUGCCGGUGUAGCCAGUGACCCUUGUGCUGUGUUGUGCCGUCAUAAUGUCGCCCAUUCAGCCUGUUCUGUGAAUUCGAAAUGUUGACUAGCAUCGCUGUGUGACCAACCUUUGCCAGCCCCCGUGACCCCUGACCCGGCCUACCCCCAAGGUCGACCGUCUAGCGUCCCGUGUCAACCGCCCGCCACCAAACCCAGGAGUCAGUGCUUCGGCUGCUCUUAUUUUUUGACAGGAAUGUCAUGAGAUUCCGUCCCAAUGAGUUACGGGUGAGUACUGUACAUAUCCUGUGUGUGUGGCGGACUGAGGACAGUCAAGAACCGGUGAGUAUUUUGUGUUUUGACUUUUAUAGUGAAAAAAGGAGAAGGCAUUGUAAUAUGCUUGACUGGCAAUCCUACAACGGCUGAUAGGGAGAAAGAAGAUAAAGGAAUAUAUAUAGAAAGGAAAAUAGAUAAUCAGAAAAAGAUAGCUAAACGGGAAAGGAGAAAUUGAACUGAA